GACGAACGCUGGCGGCGUGCCUAAUACAUGCAAGUAGAACGCACAGUUUAUACCGUAGCUUGCUACACCAUAGACUGUGAGUUGCGAACGGGUGAGUAACGCGUAGGUAACCUGCCUGGUAGCGGGGGAUAACUAUUGGAAACGAUAGCUAAUACCGCAUAAUAUUGAUUAUUGCAUGAUAAUUGAUUGAAAGAUGCUAUUGCAUCACUACCAGAUGGACCUGCGUUGUAUUAGCUAGUAGGUGAGGUAACGGCUCACCUAGGCGACGAUACAUAGCCGACCUGAGAGGGUGAUCGGCCACACUGGGACUGAGACACGGCCCAGACUCCUACGGGAGGCAGCAGUAGGGAAUCUUCGGCAAUGGACGAAAGUCUGACCGAGCAACGCCGCGUGAGUGAAGAAGGGUUUCGGAUCGUAAAGAUCUGUUGUAAGAGAAGAACGGGUGUGAGAGUGGAAAGUUCACACUGUGACGGUAUCUUACCAGAAAGGGACGGCUAACUACGUG
rnacentral:rRNA from 1 species